rnacentral:rRNA from 1 species
AUUGAACGCUGGCGGCAUGCCUUACACAUGCAAGUCGAACGGCAGCACGGGAGCAAUCCUGGUGGCGAGUGGCGAACGGGUGAGUAAUAUAUCGGAACGUGCCCAGUCGCGGGGGAUAACGCAGCGAAAGCUGUGCUAAUACCGCAUACGAUCUAUGGAUGAAAGCGGGGGACUCGCAAGGGCCUCGCGCGAUUGGAGCGGCCGAUAUCAGAUUAGGUAGUUGGUGGGGUAAAGGCUCACCAAGCCGACGAUCUGUAGCUGGUCUGAGAGGACGACCAGCCACACUGGAACUGAGACACGGUCCAGACUCCGACGGGAGGCAGCAGUGGGGAAUUUUGGACAAUGGGCGCAAGCCUGAUCCAGCAAUGCCGCGUGCAGGAUGAAGGCCUUCGGGUUGUAAACUGCUUUUGUACGGAACGAAAAGGCUCUGGUUAAUACCUGGGGCUCAUGACGGUACCGUAAGAAUAAGCACCGGCUAACUACGUGCCAGCCGCCGCAGUAACAC